AGAAUUAGUUAAAUAAUUAACAUUAGAAUGUCAACCUAAAAUUACCAACAAAUUGGUAUUCUUUGAUCC
rnacentral:tRNA from 1 species